AGUUCGGAUUGGAGCUGNAACCCGACUCCAUGAAGCUGGAUUCGCUAGUAAUCGCGCAUCAGCCACGGCGCGGUGAAUACGUUCCCGGGCCUUGUACACACCGCCCGUCAAGCCAUGGAAGCCGGGAGUGCCUGAAGUACGCGACCGCAAGGAGCGUCCUAAGGUAAAACCGGUGACUGGGGCUAAGUCGUAACAAGGUACC
rnacentral:rRNA from 1 species